rnacentral:rRNA from 1 species
UACGAAGGGGGCUAGCGUUGCUCGGAAUCACUGGGCGUAAAGGGUGCGUAGGCGGGUCUUUAAGUCAGGGGUGAAAUCCUGGAGCUCAACUCCAGAACUGCCUUGAUACUGAAGAUCUUGAGUUCGGGAGAGGAAUGCGGAAUUCCAGGUGUAGCGGUGAAAUGCGUAGAUAUCUGGAGGAACACCGGUGGCGAAGGCGGCAUUCUGGACCGACAUUGACGCUGAGGAGCGAAAGCCAGGGGAGCAAACGGGG